rnacentral:miRNA from 1 species
GAACGAUAUAAAAGAUCAUGGA